AGUUCAACAGCGUCCACCUCGGUAUGCAGAAAAACAAGAGCUUAGCGUGAAGGUAUGCAGAGUACCCUUCACCGGACCCAUGCUAGACUUGUAAAGAGGGAGACUUCAAGUGCCGCUCCCCGUCUUGUGAUGUGAUGUUCAUGAACGAGUCGGCUCUUUUGAACGGUUCCUUGAUGUGAAAGUGGAACCGGGUUUAUCUGAAAAUCGAUGAAGACACCAACAAUCACCAAAUGAAGCCCGGAAUGUCUGCAAAACGGUUUACCUCAUCUAUGGAGACUCUGAAUAGAAAAAAUGCACUAUUUCAUGAAAAUAAUUUGAUGUCUCUUUGUCCAUGUUUAUACAUUGUAUACUUAUGUGCUCAUUUGUAAAUAUGGGAUGAACACGGAAGAAGUCACCUUAUUUUCAGGAAUUAUCACAUUUCCCCAUACUUUAUCAUUGACAGAGAUCAUUACAGAUAGCUAAGAUGGCUCCCUCAAGUCACAUGUGGCACUGAUUAACAGGAAGGAUGUGAUUGUUUUCAAACUGUAUUGCUUUUGUUUUCUCUGUAAAUUCCUAUACCCAUCCAAUGCAGUUUAAAACUAACUAAUGUACGAUCUUCAUAGAAAUGUUUGAAUGAGAAUAAUAAUGUAGAACAACACAGCAGAGGUCUAACAUGUUUACAAAAUUGCCUGUCAAGUCCAGAAUGAUGUUUUUGUCAGUUUGGUCACCAUUUCUUAAGCCAGAUUCAGACAGUAGCGUGCAAUCGGAUUUGUUUAUUUCAGUGACACAUG